GCUGGGUGGGGGUGGGACGUGGGCAGAGCCGCAGGCACAAGUGGGUGUCAUUCCUGCAGAACCAGCACUGGAGAAGGGCUGCCUUUGGUUUCGGGAGCUACUCCCAGAUGGCCUCGAGCAGGAAAAUGUGCCGCAGCUCCUGAAAAAUCUGGUCCCUGGGGCGUGGGACACACGCAAAGCUGCUUUGUCUGGGUCACCAGCCUGUUCCUUAUGGGAGGGCAGAGCAUCUUCACUGAGAUGCCCUAAACAUGAGCACAGGGAGAACAGUGACGCCCCCAGGUUCUUGUCCUGCCUUCCAGUCUCUAGUGCGUGUCCAUUGACCCCGGUGGAUUUUCUCCUGGUUCUCCAUCCGGAUGUCGUCUCGUCCUCGUUGGAACACUCAGCGUUGCUCUUCGCCUCUCUCGGGUGCACGCUGCCUUGUGAUUCAGCUGGUUGAGGGCUUACUGUUCCCCUAGAGCAAUCUCCUCUGGAGUAGGACCAUCGUCAUUAUUCACGUUACUACUGUUUCGAAUAACGAAGAUGCUCUCUCGCCUUGAGCAUCUUCUCUUUGCAGGUCCUCUCAAGGAGCUUCCUAGACAUCACCUCCUUCACUGUGGUCCUCCCUCUGAGAAGGCUCAUCACCCUCUUGAGUGGUUUAGAAGAUUGAGGCCACAGAGCGGAAUGUUGUGUCUCCAAGAUGAAGUGGGGAUUUGAACCCAGGUGGUUAGCUCCACAGCCAUGACAUUUCCGCCUGCUUCACUGCAUGGCAUCCUGCCAGGUACAGAGCAGGCACUCAAAUACCUACUGAGUAUAAACGGAUCUGAGUUCCUGGGUCUCUAAAGGUUAAUGUGUUACCUAUUCUAGGCAUCUCUGGUAGGAAGUGAUUUAAGCUAACAAAGAAAAGCAAGAGUGGAAAAAUAAGUACUUUCCCAGGAAAAAAAUUCCCAGCAUGAAACACACACUGCAGUGUUUUCUGGUUAAAUUGGGGGGCUCAGACCCCCAACACUGCCCUGUUAUCAAGCACCGAGUUGCUGCGCUAUGAUGCACAGUUGACAUUCUUCAGCUCAACUAACCCAUGAGGUUGUGCUGACACCAUCAUCUUACAUCUAAAGAAACCAAGGCUUGGAGUGGUCAAGCUGACUGACAAUCAUGUCAGAACUGGCAUUCAUCCUAGGCCUCCCUUAGGCUGUUUGUUUAUUUAACAAAUAUUUAUUGAGCUGAUACUAUAUGCUAACUUCAGAGCCAAUGGGAUCAAUUCAGUAUGAACACUUCAUCCUCUCUGAGAUGGAUGCUCACAUCCUGCAUGUUCUCCAAGCUUGACAUGACAACAUCUCCUGCUAAGCUGGGUUUUCUAGUUCUAAGAUCAGCUUCAUUUGAAGGCACAUUUUCAUGUGAGGAGCAGGUGGUUGGCUGCAGGUCAUGGGCCUUAUUUCUUAGACUUACCACCUGUUAAUGGUUCAUACAAUUUGGAGACUUGCUUGUAAGUUUAUUGUCAAGUUUUGCCUAGAUAAAAAGUGAGUUGUUGUAACAUAUUCCCGAGACUUUCCUUCUCUGUCUCGUCACCUCUGGAUAAAUCGAAUGGCUGAGUUUUUAGAUGUUGUGAAUAGCUGCCUCUUUUAUUUUUCAAUAUUGUUUGACCUCAAAGAAUAUAAGCUAUAUUUUGUUGAAGUAAUAAUUCACAGCAUGGUUGUUUUAUCAUUGGAAGGGUUUUAUCUUCUUAUUCUUUCUUAGAUAAGCAUUAAUAAUGAAAAAUGGGCAGUAAAACAUUUCUCCUUAGGAUUUUGCCUGGUUGCAUAAGAUGGGUCACACUCUCAAUGAGCCUAAAUAAAAUUUCCUCCACUUAAUGUUCUUGCUCA
rnacentral:lncRNA from 1 species